GAGAAGGCAUCUCACUCUGUCUCUCAGGCUGGAGUGCACUGGCGUGAUCUGGGCUCACUGCAACCUCUCCCUCCCAAGUUCAAGCAAUUCUCCUUCCUCAGCCUCCCAAAUAGCUGGAACUACAGGCGUCUGUCACCACAUCUGGCUAAUUUUUGUAUUUUUAGGAGAGACGGGGUUUCACCGUGUUGGCCAGGCUGGUGCUGGUCUCGAACUCCUGACCUCAAGUGAUCCUCUGUCCUCAGCCUCCCAAAGUGCUGGGAUUACAGGCGAGAGCCACCGAGCCCGGCCACUGGCAGACUGUUUGGAUGAGAAGACAAAAGAUGCUGCCACCUCUCAGGGCACCUUGCCGCUAGGGACUGGAAGGAGCACAGUUUCCUUGGCAUGGCCCUGGGUGUUUCCUACAGAGGGCAAGGUGCUGUCCAAGCCUUUCCCUGCAGGGCUGGAGCUGAGCUGAACAUGGAGGUAGACCCAGGAGGUCAACCUCAUUGGUGGAAAGGCACAGAUGGCUCCUGAUUGGUGCCUGAAGCAGCCAAUGAACACUAGCCAUAGCUGCCCAAAGCCAAUCAGGCCAUGAAGACCUCUCCUGGGAGAGCUUAAUGUCUCCAUUUGGGGCAGACACAGGCAUAAGUGGGCACAAUGGAUAUUUCCUGGUUUUGGGGUGCCCCUCUGAGCACCCCUGACUCUCCUGAUCACAAGCUCACCCCUCACCCUAGGCUAGGAGAGUUGGAGGCUGGAUUGGCCCCUCUUUCAUUUUUAUUUUUUUAUUAUUUUUGAGACAGAGUCUCGCUCUGCUGCCCAGGCUGGAGUGCAGUGGCACGACCUCAGCUCACUGCAACCUCUGCUUCCCGGGUUCAAGCGAUUCUCCUGCUUCAGCCUCCCAAGUAGCUGGGAUUACAGGUGCCCGCCACCACGCCUGGCUAAUUUUUAUAUUUUUAGUAGAGACAGGGUUUCACCAAGUUGGCCAGGCUGGUCUUGAGCCCCUGACCUCAGGUGAUCCACCUGCCUCGGCCUCCCAAAGUGCUGGGAUUACAGGUGUGAGCCAUCGUGCCCGGCCUUGGGUUGGCCCCUCUGAGAUGGCAGUUGUGUUCUCAACAGGAGACCAUCAGCUCCCCUAACACAUACUCCCCCCACUCCAGGAGGCAGCCAGGCAGCCAGUGCCCCAGAACUUUCAAGCGCCCCCAGCCCACCAUUCUUUUCCCUCAACAGGAGGCAAAUGAGAACUUCUCUGGGAUUUUUAUAUUUGCAGUUUCUGUCCUAUACCCUGGGUCGUCAAAGAGUGCAAAGUGAACACAUAUGAGGUGGGGGAAGCUUGGGAGCCAAUUCACAGUAGUGCAUAACUCAAGCUGACGCUGGUCUCCUUCUUUAAGAAAUCUUUGCUUGCUACUUUGGUUAGGGGAGGCAGUGCAGCAGGGCAGAGUACGGAACUUAGGAAUCAGCCUGGCUGUGAACCCUGGCUCCAACUCUGGAGUUUGAACCUGAGCCAGCUACUUCUUCUUUUUCUUUUCUUUCUUUCUCUCUCUCUUCUUUCUUUCUCUCUCUCUCUUUUUUUUUUUUUUGUUGUUGUU
rnacentral:lncRNA from 10 species